rnacentral:rRNA from 1 species
CCUACGGGUGACAGCAGUGAGGAAUAUUGGUCAAUGGACGAGAGUCUGAACCAGCCAAGUAGCGUGAAGGAUGACUGCCCUAUGGGUUGUAAACUUCUUUUAUAUGGGAAUAAAAUGUUCCACGUGUGGGAUUUUGUAUGUACCAUAUGAAUAAGGAUCGGCUAACUCCGUGCCAGCAGCCGCGGUAAUACGGAGGAGCCGAGCGUUAUCCGGAUUUAUUGGGUUUAAAGGGAGCGUAGGUGGAUUGUUAAGUCAGUUGUGAAAGUUUGCGGCUCAACCGUAAAAUUACAGUUGAAACUGGCAGUCUUGAGUACAGUAGAGGUGGGCGGAAUUCGUGGUGUAGCGGUGAAAUGCUUAGAUAUCACGAAGAACUCCGAUUGCGAAGGCAGUUCACUGGACUGCAACUGACACUGAGGCUCGAAAGUGUGGGUAUCAAACAGGAUUAGAUACCCCUGUAGUC